rnacentral:rRNA from 1 species
AUUGAACGCUGGCGGCAGGCCUAACACAUGCAAGUCGAGCGAGCGGCGGACGGGUGAGUAAUGUCUGGGAAUCUGCCCGAUGGAGGGGGAUAACUACUGGAAACGGUAGCUAAUACCGCAUACUAUCGGAUGUGCCCAUAUGGGAUUAGCUAGUAGGUGGGGUAAAGGCUCACCUAGGCGACGAUCCCUCGCUGGUCUGAGAGGAUGACCAGCCACACUGGGACUGAGACACGGCCCAGACUCCUACGGGAGGCAGCAGUGGGGAAUAUUGCACAAUGGGCGCAAGCCUGAUGCAGCCAUGCCGCGUGUAUGAAGAAGGCCUUAGGGUUGUAAAGUACUUUCAGCGGGGAGGCGUUACCCGCAGAAGAAGCACCGGCUAACUCCGUGCCAGCAGCCGCGGUAAUAC